rnacentral:rRNA from 1 species
UACGCGGGCAACCUGCCCCUCUGCUUCGGGAUAAGCUUUGGAAAUCGGGGUCUAAUACCGGAUGUGCCUGUCUGGUCGCAUGACUAGGCGGAGAAAGAUGUUUUUCGGCGGGGGAUGGGCUCGCGGCCUAUCAGCUUGUUGGUGGGGUGACGGCCUACCAAGGCGUCGACGGGUAGCCGGCCUGAGAGGGUGGUCGGCCACACUAGGACUGAGAUACGGCCCAGACUCCUACGGGAGGCAGCAGUGGGGGAUAUUGCACAAUGGGCGCAAGCCUGAUGCAGCGACGCCGCGUGGGGGAUGGAGGCUUUCGGGUUGUAAACCCCUUUCGGCGCGGGACAAGGCUCCGUUUGGCGGGGUUGAGGGUACGCGUCAAAGAAGCGCCGGCUAACUACGUGCCAGCAGCCGCGGUAAUACGUAGGGCGCGAGCGUUGUCCGGAAUUAUUGGGCGUAAAGGGCUCGUAGGCGGCUUGUCGCGUCUGCUGUGAAAACGCGGGGCUCAACUCCGCGCGUGCAGUGGGUACGGGCAGGCUGGAGUGCGGCAGGGGUGGCUGGAAUUCCUGGUGUAGCGGUGGAAUGCGCAGAUAUCAGGAAGAACACCGAUGGUGAAGGCAGGCCAAUGGGCAGUCACUGAUGGUGAGGAGCGAAAGCGUGGGGAGCGAACAGG